AUGUUAUCUAGAGUGGACGAGAGAAUCGGCUUUAUGACUCCACAGCAACCUAUUUAAAAAUAAGGUGCUAAUACCGACAAAGCUAUAGCUUUGGCUGAUGAUUA
rnacentral:ncRNA from 2 species